GACGUUAUAGUUUGUUUGAUGGUACCCGCUAUUCGGAUGACCGAAGUAAUUCUACAGCUAAUACGUGCAACAAACCUCAACUUCUAGAAGGGAUGCAUUUAUUAGAUAAAAGGUCAACAUGGGCUCUGCUCGUUGCUCUAACGAUUCAUGAUAACUCUACGAAUCACACGACUUUGCGCCGGCGACGCAUCAUUCAAAUUUCUGCUAUCAACUCUCAAUGGUAGGAUAGUGGCCUGCCAUGGUGGUAAUAAGGUAUCGAAG
rnacentral:rRNA from 1 species